GAUGAACGCUGGCGGCGCGCCUAACACAUGCAAGUCGAACGGGAACACCCGUAGCAAUAUGGGUGUUUUAGUGGCGGACGGGUGAGUAACGCGUGAGGAACCUGCCUUUCGGAGGGGAAUAACACAUCGAAAGAUGUGCUAAUACCGCAUAAUGUCAUCGGGCGGCAUCGCCUGAUGACCAAAAGAGCAAUCUGCCGAAAGAUGGCCUCGCGUCCGAUUAGAUAGUUGGUGAGGUAACGGCCCACCAAGGCGACGAUGGGUAGCCGGCCUGAGAGGGUGAACGGCCACACUGGGACUGAGACACGGCCCAGACUCCUACGGGAGGCAGCAGUUGGGAAUCUUCGGCAAUGGGCGCAAGCCUGACCGAGCAACGCCGCGUGAGUGAUGAAGGUUUUCGGAUUGUAAAGCUCUGUCUUCCGGGACGAUAAUGACGGUACCGGAGGAGGAAGCCACGGCUAACUACGUGCCAGCAGCCGGGUAAACAUACUCGUA
rnacentral:rRNA from 1 species